rnacentral:lncRNA from 1 species
UUUGUGAUAGUUUUUAGAACUUAUGGGUAUAAGUCAUGUUUUAUAUUUUUUCAAAUAAAAAGUGAAAUAUGUUUUGAAAAAUCAUGUCCAAACACAUUUUCAUCUUCAAACCAAACUUCACCCAAAUCAGAUUUUUCAAAAUAAAUUUGGGAAUCUAUGGUCAAACGCUAGCUAAAACUCUUCAUCUUCAAUUCAAGUAAUACGGGGUUGACUAGUUCUUCAUCAACAAAUUCUCUAUCCAUUCUCUUCAUCUUCUCGUUCCCUCAUCUAUUUUGUCAUCUGCAAAUUCACAUUGUAGUUCCUUUUUUUUACACCACUGCAACCAAGAGAAAAAAGAUCAUAUUUUUACACCACUGCAUCCAGCAGGAAUCAAGAAUGGUGCGCUUUAAACCAGAUAACAAAAUACAUUGAAUGCCCCGGCAACAUACAUUGAAAUGCACCAACAAAAUAUAAUGAAAUGCACCAGCAAAAUACACCGAAAUGCAGAAAAUCAGCUGUACUAAGACAAAUUUGUCCAAUUUUGCGAAUAUGAGCAAAUAACAUGGGGAGAAAAUCAGCCCAAACAAUGCAGAAACAGUGCUAAAAAAAACAGCUCAAACUAUGCAAAAACAGGACAGGCUUUAGGCAGCAGCAAUGCAGAAGUUUAGGUUUUUUGGGCAAAAACAGCAGUGCAGGAGCUUCUAAAAUUGGCCUGUAGACCCUUCAAUUUACUUUUAAGAAUGCAGCUCAAAUCCUGCUGAACUGAUGCCCGAAACAGUGCAGAAAUUGCAUUCAAACUAUAGAAAUCUGCAUCAUAUGUUGUCGACCGAAUGGUUGUGCAAUUAGACAAGUACAAGCAAGUCAUUUGUGUGAGAUGUAUAGACCCCUCCGUUCACCACUCAUGGUAUCAUAAUUAAAUUAAUCACCAAAAGUAUCAGUAUAUACUGCUAAGAUAUGAAUCUUAGCAGCAGAACAUCAUAAAUAUUAGAAUAGUUGGUUCAAUAGAAUCCCAAAAGUACAAGAAAAUAGAAAGAGAACAACAGAGGGCACUGUUGAGUCUAAGUUUCGCAAGAUAAGGUUGAAGAUCAAUAGCAAUCUCAUCUUUUUCAUCAGAGUCUGAUCCAUCAUCAAGAUCUUAUACAAUUUAAAAAGAAAAAAUAUAAAAUAUUACAGUUUAUUAGUUUUUCAAAAAAUAAAAUAAACCAUUCUAGAUAAGAUUAAUUUACCUUCUCUUUCACAAAUCCAAUCUCUAGAACAUAGCUUUGCCUCGGCAUUUGCGGGAAGAAUAGAACUUCAAAACUUUUCAAUGACACGACCACCUAUGCUAAAUACAGAUUCAGAGGCUACUGUGGUGAUUGGAACACUCAAGAUAUCUCGUGCCAUUAAUGAGAGUUCUAGAUACCUUUGUCUGUUAUCCUUCCAAUAUCCAAGUACAUCCAGAUUCGGAUUUGUUUUACGGUCAAGAUUAGCUUCCUCCAAAUACAAGUCUAGUUGUGUUUUACCGAUACUUGACUCAAACUGACUUUCAAACUCAUCAAAUGCAUCCCUCAUUUCAUUGCUACCACUAUUACAAGCAUGAUCCCCCGAUAACGAGGUUGUAGUCGAAGGUAUCAAGUACUCUUUGAACAAUAAUUGUAAGUUCUCUUCAAUAGCCUUCACUUUUUCAUUAGCAAUCUCCUCAGGAUGAAGCUUUGAAAAGCAAAACUUAACAAACUUCAAUUUAUAUCGAGGGUUAAGGAUAAUAGCUAUAGAUAAAAUGACACUAUAUGACUCCCAAUAUUUUUUAAACUUUCCCAACAUCAAAGUGCCCAUCUCACUCAUCACUGAAUCUCCACUGUUUUUUUGUUCUUCCAACAACAUUUCAAUUCUCCGUACGUUAGGAAGAUACAAAUUAGCCGUGGGGUAUUUACAUCCAGAAAACAAGGUCGUAAUGUCAUAAAAUGGCUUCAAAAACUUAGCUAUAAUCUCGAGCCUUUUCCAUUCAUCUUCAGAAAGGCCAUAUCUAAAAUCAGUGUCAAGCAAGUUAUAGUGAAUAUAAGCUUGCCGAUAAAGAAGAGCACUUUCAAGCAUUUGGUAGGUGGAGUUUCACCGAAUAGGCAUAUCUUGACGUAGCUUCUUAGAACAUGGUAGACCAAGAUUACUAAGACACUCCACAAAUUUCAUUAUUCUUGUUUCUGAAUUCUUGAUAUGCUUAACACCUUCUCUAAUUUUCGAAAUAGUUGUAUCAGCCUUCUCGAAGCCCGUCUUAACAAUUAAGUUCAAAAUGUGAUUCCCACAAUGAACAUGAAGAAAUUUUCCGUCACAAAUUAGUGAACGCAUCAAAGAAAAAUGAUUCUUUAAACUAUUCACUACACCGUUGUUGCAAGUAGCAUUAUCUAAAAUAAGGGUAAAGAUUUUCUUUUCGAUUCCCCAUUCUUUAAGAAAGUUAAUCAAUAAGGGACCUAAAAUCGCACCCGAAUGUGGAGGAGGAACAUGACGAAAAAUUAACACCCUCUUCUGAAGCACCCAAUUCAAAUCCACAUAAUGAGCGAUUACACACAUAUAGCCAUUAGAUGCUAAUGAAGUCCAUAUAUCUGAUGUUAAACACACUCUACUGGGAAUAAUGGCAAGCUCAUUUUUUAGAAGUUCUUUUUCGCUUGCAUACAUAUUCAAGAUAUCUGACUUGGCCGUGUUUCAUGAUAUGUGCUUCGCUAUUGGAUUUAAAUAUGAAUGAAGGUCCCUGAUGCCUUUAUGUUCUACAAAACUAAAAGCAUAGUUAUGCCUGACUAUGGCUAAUGAUAUUUUCUCUCGAUAAACUUUCUGAUCUAUCGGUUCACUUUGACCCUCUUUUGCAUUAUUCAACGGAUGUUUUAUCAACAAAUAUCGCUUCAAAUUUGAUGUUCCAAAUUUAGGAUCGUAUAUGUAGUCUUUUUUACAAAGCGUGCAUUGGACUUUAAACUUUCCAUCACUAGAAAUACUAGGCUAUGUUACCUUAACAAAAGAAUCCCAAACAGUGGAAAAUUGUCUUUUUGAUCGUUUCAGCGUAGUUGAAGAGCUCUGUUCAC